rnacentral:rRNA from 1 species
UACGGGGGGGGCAAGCGUUGUUCGGAAUUACUGGGCGUAAAGGGCUCGUAGGCGGCCAACUAAGUCAGACGUGAAAUCCCUCGGCCUAACCGGGGAACUGCGUCUGAUACUGGAUGGCUUGAGUGUGGGAGAGGGAUGCGGAAUUCCAGGUGUAGCGGUGAAAUGCGUAGAUAUCUGGAGGAACACCGGUGGCGAAGGCGGCAUCCUGGACCAUUACUGACGCUGAUGAGCGAAAGCCAGGGGAGCAAACGGG